UAAGGUGUAAAUCACUAUUGCUCUCUGGUGGUAUGAUUCGGAACUGGUAAUUAACCCACAUUACCUUCCCGGACGUUAGGUGGCAGUAAACACUUGCUGUUGGUCACCAAACGUUACUAAUGAAGACAGAAGAAGACAUAUGAGGAAGUUUUGCCGCGUUUCUUUGUUUUGGAUCUUCAUGCUCAGUUUUUUUUUGACGUUUCGAUACUUCAGAAACGUUUUAUUUCGCUUACGAAUAACGAGCUAAAUGCAAUUUUAUGAUUCUGUUUUGAUUGAACGCAUAUGAGCUAAUUUAGUAUACAGCUUCUCUGUCGACUAGCUACUGUAGCUAGUUAACGUUAGUUAGCAACACAGGAGCCUUGACGUCAGUCGCUAAGGCUUGCUCAUAUCAUGGAUGGUGAAAACAAACCCUGCCUGCUGCUCUCCUUUACCGCACCUAAAUCUGAGGGUCCUGAUUGUAACAGAGUGAACAGCAGACUCCAGAGAUGGCAUCAGUGAAGCAGGAAGACUGCAGUCAAACACUGGGGCUGAAUGUCAACAUUAAAGAUGAAGUAAAGGAGGAAGAGAUUGAAACAUUUGUGUAUCAUGAUAAAGGAAGAAGAAAACCAAAAGGAAUGGAGAAAGAAACUGAAAAAAAGAGGCACCGAUUCACCCCUGGAGAUGAGGAUCUUAUUAUUUCAGGGGUACUUGUGCACUGGGAGGACCUCUUCGGCGCCCAGGCCCACAUUCGCCCCCGGGGGUCAAAGACGGCAACCUGGAACACCAUCGCUGGGACCUUGACCUCGGCUGUGGCGAGAUGUGGUGACGAUGUCCGGAAGAAGUACAAUCUCAUACGGAGCCAAAUCAAGCAAAAGGUUUCUUCUAUCCGGACAUUGUCUGGUGGGGGGCCCAACACCGUGCCGGCGCUGACCGACCUGGAGCAGCAACUUUUCUCCCGAAUGGCAGAGACCGAAGCUGGUGUAGUGCCUGUUGAUUUGGGAUUUGGUGAGUGCUAAUCUUGUAAUUAUAAUUAAGAUAUAAUUACAUCAUACUAAUAUAUUAUACAUUAGGCCUAUAUACGGUAUAUUUCAGUUAAAUACCUCACAUUAUACAAUAUUGAAUUAUGUAUUGUUUGGUUUAAAUUGGACUUAAAAAAAAAAGUAAUCUAACAUAAUUAAUUGAAGUUGCUGUUUGACAUUUGCCUUAACCAGGCCUUCUUGUAGAUUGGCCCUAUCAUAUGUGCUACAAAGCAAGUGUAUAUCCAGAUCAAUUACAUGAAUUACUAAGAAAUGUAUAUUUCGAAAACCCUGCUUCUGAUUGGGGUUUAAUGUUGAUUUGCUCUACAUAGAUUGACAGAAUGUAGGCCUACUGCUUCUGAUUGGGGUUUAAUGUUGAUUUGCUCUACAUAGAUUGACAGAAUGUAGGCCUACUGCUUCUGAUUGGGGUUUAAUGUUGAUUUGCUCUACAUAGAUUGACAGAAUGUAGGCCUACUGCUUCUGAUUGGGGUUUAAUGUUGAUUUGCUCUACAUAGAUUGACAGAAUGUAGGCCUACUGCUUCUGAUUGGGGUUUAAUGUUGAUUUGCUCUACAUAGAUUGACAGAAUGUAGGCCUACUGCUUCUGAUUGGGGUUUAAUGUUGAUUUGCUCUACAUAGAUUGACAGAAUGUAGGCCUACUGCUUCUGAUUGGGGUUUAAUGGCCAUAUGGAAUGUAGGCCUACUGCUUCUGAUUGGGGUUUAAUGUUGAUUUGCUCUACAUAGAUUGACAGAAUGUAGGCCUACUGCUUCUGAUUGGGGUUUAAUGUUGAUUUGCUCUACAUAGAUUGACAGAAUGUAGGCCUACUGCUUC
rnacentral:lncRNA from 1 species